UCAGAAUAGUUCUCUGAAAAUGGGACAACAGAAGAAGAGCUGCAGCCUAGAGUUGACCGACCCUGUGCUGUUGAAGGAAGCAGGGAAUGAGGCGUAUAAGAAGGAAAACCUGGACGAGGCCCUAGCCUGCUAUACUAAGGGUUUAGAAAUAUCCUCUGCUGACCUAGAUAAAGCUGUUUUAUUGAAGAAUCGAGCAGCAGUUUAUCUCAAGA